rnacentral:rRNA from 1 species
GACGAACGCUGGCGGCGUGCUUAACACAUGCAAGUCGAACGGAAAGACCCUGCUUUUGUGGGGUGCUCGAGUGGCGAACGGGUGAGUAACACGUGAGUAACCUGCCCUUGACUUUGGGAUAACUUCAGGAAACUGGGGCUAAUACCGGAUAGGAGCUCCUGCUGCAUGGUGGGGGUUGGAAAGUUUCGGCGGUUGGGGAUGGACUCGCGGCUUAUCAGCUUGUUGGUGGGGUAGUGGCUUACCAAGGCUUUGACGGGUAGCCGGCCUGAGAGGGUGACCGGCCACAUUGGGACUGAGAUACGGCCCAGACUGCUACGGGAGGCAGCAGUGGGGAAUAUUGCACAAUGGGCGGAAGCCUGAUGGAGCAACGCCGCGUGCGGGAUGACGGCCUUCGGGUUGUAAACCGCUUUCGCCUGUGACGAAGCGUGAGUGACGGUAAUGGGUAAAGAAGCACCGGCUAACUACGUG